rnacentral:rRNA from 1 species
AGUGAACGCUGGCGGUAGGCCUAACACAUGCAAGUCGAACGGCAGCACAGUAAGAGCUUGCUCUUACGGGUGGCGAGUGGCGGACGGGUGAGGAAUACAUCGGAAUCUACUUUUUCGUGGGGGAUAACGUAGGGAAACUUACGCUAAUACCGCAUACGACUUACGGGUGAAAUCAGGGGAUCUUCGGACCUUGCGCGAUUGAAUGAGCCGAUGUCGGAUUAGCUAGUUGGCGGGGUAAAGGCCCACCAAGGCGACGAUCCGUAGCUGGUCUGAGAGGAUGAGCAGCCACACUGGAACUGAGACACGCUCCAGACUCCUACGGGAGGCAGCAGUGGGGAAUAUUGGACAAUGGGCGCAAGCCUGAUCCAGCCAUACCGCGUGUGUGAAGAAGGCAUUCUGGUUGUAAAGCCCUUUUGUUGGGAAAGUAAAGCAGCAGGUUAAUACCCCGCUGUUCUGACGGUACCCAAAGAAUAAGCACCGGCUAACUUCGUG